rnacentral:lncRNA from 1 species
CUUUUUCAUCGUUUCAAAAGACAAUAUUUCAUCUGAUAUAUUGAAAUAGUUUUAUCUUGUUAUUUAACUUUUUUGACAAAUACAGAGAGACAAAUUAUCGCAGUUUCAAUUUGACGUUUGGAAUACAUCAGAAAUAACGGCAACCAAAAGAAUUUUAUGACUUCUUGUACCAAACAAUAAAAAAGAUAUUACUGAAACUGUA